rnacentral:rRNA from 1 species
CGUGGUGGAAGCCCUAAACAUGCAGUCGAGCGGAUGAGGGAGCUUGCUCUCUGAUUCAGCGGCGGACGGGUGAGUAAUGCCUAGGAAUCUGCCUGAUAGUGGGGGACAACGUUUCGAAAGGAACGCUAAUACCGCAUACGUCCUACGGGAGAAAGCAGGGGACCUUCGGGCCUUGCGCUAUCAGAUGAGCCUAGGUCGGAUUAGCUAGUUGGUGAGGUAACGGCUCACCAAGGCGACGAUCCGUAACUGGUCUGAGAGGAUGAUCAGUCACACUGGAACUGAGACACGGUCCAGACUCCUACGGGAGGCAGCAGUGGGGAAUAUUGGACAAUGGGCGAAAGCCUGAUCCAGCCAUGCCGCGUGUGUGAAGAAGGUCUUCGGAUUGUAAAGCACUUUAAGUUGGGAGGAAGGGCAUUAACCUAAUACGUUAGUGUUUUGACGUUACCGACAGAAUAAGCACCGGCUAACUUCGUGCCAGCAGCCGCGGUAAUACGAAGGGUGCAAGCGUUAAUCGGAAUUACUGGGCGUAAAGCGCGCGUAGGUGGUUUGUUAAGUUGAAUGUGAAAGCCCCGGGCUCAACCUGGGAACUGCAUCCAAAACUGGCAAGCUAGAGUAUGGCAGAGGGUGGUGGAAUUUCCUGUGUAGCGGUGAAAUGCGUAGAUAUAGGAAGGAACACCAGUGGCGAAGGCGACCACCUGGGCUAAUACUGACACUGAGGUGCGAAAGCGUGGGGAGCAAACAGGAUUAGAUACCCUGGUAGUCCACGCCGUAAACGAUGUCGACUAGCCGUUGGGAUCCUUGAGAUCUUAGUGGCGCAGCUAACGCAUUAAGUCGACCGCCUGGGGAGUACGGCCGCAAGGUUAAAACUCAAAUGAAUUGACGGGGCCCGCACAAGCGGUGGAGCAUGUGUUUUAAUUCGAGCAUCGCGAAGAACCUUACCAGGCCUUGACAUGCAGAGAACUUUCCAGAGAUGAUUGCUGCCUUCGGAACUCUGACACAGGUGCUGCAUAGCCUGGUCGUCAGCU